GGGAUGCGGGGGCAACUCCGCAAGUAUAGUGGCAGACGGGUGAGUAACACGUGAACAAUCUACCCUUGAGAGGGGAAUAACCCCGCGAAAGCGGGGCUAAUACCGCAUAACAUCCCUGAGUCGCAUGGCACAGGGAUCAAAGGCUCCGGUCGCUCAAGGAGGAGUUCGCGGCUGAUUAGCUAGUUGGUGAGGUAACGGCCCACCAAGGCAACGAUCAGUAGCCGGCCUGAGAGGGCGUACGGCCACACUGGAACUGAGACACGGUCCAGACUCCUACGGGAGGCAGCAGUGGGGAAUUUUGCGCAAUGGGCGAAAGCCUGACGCAGCAACGCCGCGUGGAGGAUGAAGGCCUUCGGGUCGUAAACUCCUGUCAGGGGGGACGAAACGCCCGGCAACGGGCAUUGACUGUACCCUCUGAGGAAGCCACGGCUAACUCCGUGCCAGCAGCCGCGGUAAUACGGAGGUGGCAAGCGUUGUUCGGAAUUACUGGGCGUAAAGGGCGCGUAGGCGGCAAGGCAAGUCAGGUGUGAAAACCCCGAGCUUAACUCGGGAAUUGCAUCUGAAACUGCUGUGCUUGAGUUCUGGAGGGGGUAGUGGAAUUCCCAGUGUAGCGGUGAAAUGCGUAGAUAUUGGGAGGAACACCUGCGGCGAANGCGGCUACCUGGACAGAAACUGACGCUGAGGCGCGAAAGCUAGGGGAGCGAACGGGAUUAGAUACCCCGGUAGUCCUAGCCGUAAACGAUGGGCACUUGGUGUUGGGGGUAUUGAGUCCCC
rnacentral:rRNA from 1 species